rnacentral:rRNA from 1 species
CACGUAGGGUGCAAGCGUUGUCCGGAUUCAUUGGGCGUAAAGGGCUAGUAGGCGGCUUAGCAAGUCGGGUGUGAAAACUUCAGGCUCAACCUGGAGCGGCCAUCCGAUACUGCUAUGGCUAGAGUCCGGUAGGGGACCACGGAAUUCCUGGUGUAGCGGUGAAAUGCGCAGAUAUCUGGAGGAACACCGGUGGCGAAGGCGGCGUCCUGGACCAACACUGACACUGAUGAGCGAAAGCCAGGGGAGCAAACGGG